ACGAACGCUGGCGGCGUGCUUAACACAUGCAAGUCGAACGAUGAACCGCUUUCGGGCGGGGAUUAGUGGCGAACGGGUGAGUAACACGUGGGCAAUCUGCCCUGCACUCUGGGACAAGCCCUGGAAACGGGGUCUAAUACCGGAUACUCACUGCCUUGGGCAUCCUUGGUGGUGGAAAGCUCCGGCGGUGCAGGAUGAGCCCGCGGCCUAUCAGCUAGUUGGUGAGGUAAUGGCUCACCAAGGCGACGACGGGUAGCCGGCCUGAGAGGGCGACCGGCCACACUGGGACUGAGACACGGCCCAGACUCCUACGGGAGGCAGCAGUGGGGAAUAUUGCACAAUGGGCGAAAGCCUGAUGCAGCGACGCCGCGUGAGGGAUGACGGCCUUCGGGUUGUAAACCUCUUUCAGCAGGGAAGAAGCGAGAGUGACGGUACCUGCAGAAGAAGCGCCGGCUAACUACGUGCCAGCAGCCGCGGUAAUACGUAGGGCGCAAGCGUUGUCCGGAAUUAUUGGGCGUAAAGAGCUCGUAGGCGGCUUGUCACGUCGGUUGUGAAAGCCCGGGGCUUAACCCCGGGUCUGCAGUCGAUACGGGCAGGCUAGAGUUCGGUAGGGGAGAUCGGAAUUCCUGGUGUAGCGGUGAAAUGCGCAGAUAUCAGGAGGAACACCGGUGGCGAAGGCGGAUCUCUGGGCCGAUACUGACGCUGAGGAGCGAAAGCGUGGGGAGCGAACAGGAUUAGAUACCCUGGUAGUCCACGCCGUAAACGGUGGGCACUAGGUGUGGGCAACAUUCCACGUUGUCCGUGCCGCAGCUAACGCA
rnacentral:rRNA from 1 species